rnacentral:piRNA from 1 species
UGGAUUGCAUUCUGGUAUUCAGGACCCAAG